GACGAACGCUGGCGGCGUGCUUAACACAUGCAAGUCGAGCGAUGAAACACCUUCGGGUGCGGAUUAGCGGCGAACGGGUGAGGAACACGUGAGGAAUCUGCCUUCCACUCUGGGAUAACUCCGGGAAACCGGGGCUAAUACCGGAUACUUUCAACUGGCGGCAUCGCCGGUUGAAGAAAGUUUUUCGGUGGAAGAUGACCUCGCGGCCUAUCAGCUUGUUGGUGAGGUAAAGGCUCACCAAGGCGACGACGGGUAGCCGGCCUGAGAGGGCGACCGGCCACACUGGGACUGAGACACGGCCCAGACUCCUACGGGAGGCAGCAGUGGGGAAUAUUGGGCAAUGGAGGAAACUCUGACCCAGCGACGCCGCGUGAGGGAUGAAGGCCUUCGGGUUGUAAACCCCUUUCAGCAGGGAAUAAGCGAAAGUGAAGGUACCUGCAGAAGAAGCACCGGCUAACUAUGUGCCAGCCGCCGCUGUAA
rnacentral:rRNA from 1 species